rnacentral:rRNA from 1 species
AAUAAGCACCGGCUAACUACGUGCCAGCAGCCGCGGUAAUACGUAGGGUGCAAGCGUUAWUCGGAAUUACUGGGCKUAAAGSGUGCGCAGGCGGUUUUUUAAGUCAGAUGUGAAAUCCCCGGGCUCAACCUGGGAACUGCMUUUGUGACUGCAAGGSUGGAGUGGGGYAGAGGGGGRUGGAAUUCCGCGUGUAGCAGUGAAAUGCGUAGAUAUGCGGAGGAACACCGAUGGCGAAGGCANUCCCCUGGGCNUGCACUGACGCUCAUGCACGAAAGCGUGGGGAGCAAACAGGAUUAAAUACCCUGGUAGUCCCGCCCCUAAACAA